GUUAGGAAUAUUGGACAAUGGGCGCAAGCCUGAUCCAGCCAUACCGCGUGAGUGAUGAAGGCCUUCGGGUUGUAAAGCUCUUUAGCCGAUGAUUAUAAUGACUGUAGUCGGAAAAUAAGCCCCGGCUAACUUCGUGCCAGCAGCCGCGGUAAUACGAAGGGGGCGAGCGUUAUUCGGAAUCACUGGGCGUAAAGCGUGCGUAGGCGGCUUUGCAAGUUGGGAGUGAAAGCCCAGGGCUCAACCCUGGAAUUGCUCUCAAAACUGCAAGGCUCGAAUUCGGGAGAGGAUAGCGGAAUUGUCAGUGUAGCAGUGAAAUGCGUAGAUAUUGACAGGAACACCAGUGGCGUAAGCGGCUAUCUGGACGAGUAUUGACGCUGAGGCACGAAAGCGUGGGGAUCAAACAGGAUUAGAAACCCCGGUAGUCC
rnacentral:rRNA from 1 species